UGAACACUGUAACUUUCUGUGGAUGAAAUUACUGCCACAGCAGUGAGAAGAAGACCUUUAGAAGACUUACUUGUUCACAGCUGAUAGUAUUUCCAGAAUGAAAGACAGGCUCUGGAGAUCCUUCAAGAACCAUGUUGGCCAUCUUACCAAUUUCCUCUCUAGUGCACCUAGAAUAUGAUAGAAACUGCACGUUUAAGUGAGCCCAUCUAUUGCAUCGCUGCUGAAACGAUUCUCCAACAGAAAAUAGAGAACAUUUUUAAUUCUGUCUUAUAAAGCACCAUUUUUACACUUUUUUUUUUCUUUAUACUGGAUUAAUGCUACAUACUAAACUCUGAAGAUCCUCUUAUGAAAUAUAUUGGCCAUCAGACCAAUUUCCUUACCCACAGAAGAGACACUGGUGUAGUAUCUCUCUGUUCUUGAGCAAUUUGGCAGCUCGCUUAAGGACAAAUACGUGACCAGAGGGUGGCCCUUGAGCCAUGUGCAAUUUAUGCGACUCCUCAGCACAGCUGGAUCCAGAUGUUCCAGCUGUGGGAGCUCCCCUAAGUCCUCAGCUGCAAGAAGAAUUCACCCAGGAGGGACAGUCAACGUCUGCAGCUGAAGCCAAGCCUUCAAGACAACAAAGAAGAGCUUCUGUUGAUUGUGUUGAUUGUUGAUUGUGACCAUGCGAAGAUUUUGGAACCUGGCCUUAAUGUUGGCCAUCCUUUGUCCAUAGCAUCAAAAAGCAAAUUACUGCAUGUUUGUCAUACCACAAAUGUCUGCUGCUACUGACAGCUGCCAUAAUUUUAUGUAC
ensembl:lncRNA